rnacentral:tRNA from 1 species
GGGGGUUUAGCUCAGUGGCAUAAGCGCCUGCCUUGCAAGCAGGCAGUUGCGAGUUCGAUCCCCA